rfam:Deltaproteobacteria bacterium RIFCSPLOWO2_12_FTLL_43_16 rifcsplowo2_12_scaffold_1356, whole genome shotgun sequence.
UUACCCUUUUAAUUUGGCCCCGAGAGGUUAAGAAAGGGAGUAAAGAUGAAAAUUCGCAUUGAUAUUAAAAAAAUACCCCCGUGCCGUUGGGAAGGCAAGGGGGUAUUUUUUU